GUCAGUGGCGGACGGGUGAGUAACGCGUAGGGAAGUGUCCAGAGGUGGGGGACAACCCUGGGAAACUGGGGCUAAUACCGCAUAUGAGCUGAGGCUCAAAGCCGUAAGGCGCCUUUGGAGUAGCCUGCGUCCGAUUAGUUUGUUGGUGGGGUAAAGGCCUACCAAGGCGACGAUCGGUAGCUGGUCUGAGAGGACGACCAGCCACACUGGGACUGAGACACGGCCCAGACUCC
rnacentral:rRNA from 1 species